CCGUACCAGAAGUGUUUUUGACAUGGACACACGGUUUUCGCCGUUCCCAAAUCAUGUAAAUGCACUAUCUGGUACGACA
ncrna:Acyrthosiphon pisum (pea aphid) microRNA api-mir-277 precursor